rnacentral:misc_RNA from 1 species
UUAAAACCCUACCUAUUUCUCUGGGAUUUUUGUUUUAAUCCUCCAGCUUUUAUCUCUGUUGCGGCAUAGAUGACUGCAUUGUUUAUUGAGGUGCAUGUCUCGUUGGAAUUCGGAGAGGUUUACUUACGAUGGUUUGAUUAUGUUACUGAUGCUUGUCUUCUAAAGGAAUAAAGCUGCUGUCUUGUUCAUAACAUCGACACUUUUAAGGUUGAAACUUUAUUUAUACCGUAGUUCUGAGAAGGCCAAUAAACAGUUUUAUCAGAUUUAUCAGCUGAUAUCUGGAGGUCCUAUGGCGAUCGUCAAACCAGAGAUGAAGUCAUAUAUCUGGCUCGAAACUGCUGAUGGUUCAAUCCAAGAAGUGGAGGAAGAGGUUGCCAUGUUUUGCCCUGUGAUAUGCAGGGAAUUACUUCAAAAUGGCAAGGGAUCUUCGAAAAAUUGUGCAAUAUUACUUCCUGAACGAGUCAAUCCUGCUAACUUAGAGUUAAUACUGGAGUUUUGUCGGUUCCAUCAAGUUCCUGGCCGUUCUAAUAAGGAGCGCAAGAAACAUGAUGAGAAGUUUGUCCGGUUAGAUACCAAGACGUUAUGUGAUUUGGCUUCUGCUGCUGACAGUCUUCAGCUAAGGCCUGUGGUUGACCUUACGAGCCGUGCACUUGCUCGGGUGAUCGAAGGCAAAACUCCCGAGGAAAUACGUGAAACUUUCCAUUUGCCUGAUGAUCUAACAGAGGAGGAGAAGUUGGAACCUUUGAGAAAUAUGACGGAUGAUCCACGUAUCCGCCUUCUAAAUCGACUCUAUGCAAGAAAAAGGAAAGAAUUAUAUGACAGAAAGAAACUAAAGAAUGUUGAUGUAGAAGAAGAGCCCCGCGUAGAUGAAAGAUCAGUUGAUGAUCUUUUGUCAUUCAUAAAUGGUGGAGAUCAAGACUCAAAGGCUGCAAGAGUAACAAAAAAUAAAAAGAAAUCUCGAGGAAGAAAAGAACAAGCUAGAAAUUCGUCUUCAAAUAAUGAACCUGGAAACAAUAAUAAGGAAUCUAAUUGCCUUACAUCUGGCUGCUUAAAUGGUGACACCAGUGAUGGGUCUUCUCCAAGUAGAAAUUCUGAGCUGCAAAACUCACCAUCUGCAAUGUUUUCAUCUAAGCUCGACUUGGAUGAUUUUGAUAUUGAUGAUGAGUUAGAUCCAGCAAGGAAGGAAGAAAUUGACAGGGAGGUUGAGGAUUUUGCUAGGAGACUAAACUCUGAUUGGCCAGAAAGAAUGCAGGAGAUUUUGUCCCUGGGUCAAGAAAGGAGGCCUGUACCACUAUCUGUGAACGGGAAUGGUUCCCUGAGGAGAUAUACUGGUUUGGACAGGAGAUAAUGGUUCAGAUGGUGGAUUAUGAAUCUUUUGGAUUCAGUUGAGCUUAACAUGCCAGCUUGUCUGUGUCUGCUGUUUCGAAAAGACAGUAAAGCUUCAGUGUUCAUUGCUUGUAAAGUUCUUUCCGCUUAUCUAUCAGACCAAAG